rnacentral:lncRNA from 1 species
GCUGCCUCAGAGCCUGAAGCCAUGGUACUUGAUACUACAAUCUCCCCUCUUAGUGUUUCUGGCCAGCUUUUGAGAACAGCAGGGAAGGUAUUCAGGGUAGAAGACAAUGGCAAAUGUCAAGAAGGAGAAGGAGAAUCUAGAGUUUAAAAGACUGCUGAGUGACAUGUGGAACAGAUCAAAGGAAGAAAUUUAUCAGAGGAAUCUCUCUAAGGGCUUAGACUCUACACCCAAGAAAAUCAAGACCACAAAUAUAGAAGAAAAUGUGGAGCAGCUGACUUUUCCAUGAAUUCAAAUAAUUUUCCUGAAUCUUUCAAAGCAGAAC